rnacentral:misc_RNA from 1 species
UCUCCGUUGGUGAACCAGCGGAGGGAUCAUUACAGAGUCGUAAAACACUCCCAGACCCAUGUGAACUUACCAAUGUUGCCUCGGCGGACCUACCCUGUAGGGUGGUUACCCUGUAGCGCCCCGCCGGCGGACCAAUAAACUCUUGUUAUUCUAUGGAUAUCUGUGCGUCUUAUUUAAUAAGUUAAAACUUUCAACAACGGAUCUCUUGGUUCUGGCAUCGAUGAAGAACGCAGC